AGUCGAGCGGAAACGAGUUAUCUGAACCUUCGGGGAACGUUAACGGCGUCGAGCGGCGGACGGGUGAGUAAUGCCUAGGAAGUUGCCCAGUAGAGGGGGAUAACCAUUGGAAACGAUGGCUAAUACCGCAUAACCUCUUCGGAGCAAAGCAGGGGACCUUCGGGCCUUGCGCUAUUGGAUACGCCUAGGUGGGAUUAGCUAGUUGGUGAGGUAAUGGCUCACCAAGGCGACGAUCCCUAGCUGGUCUGAGAGGAUGAUCAGCCACACUGGAACUGAGACACGGUCCAGACUCCUACGGGAGGCAGCAGUGGGGAAUAUUGCACAAUGGGCGAAAGCCUGAUGCAGCCAUGCCGCGUGUGUGAAGAAGGCCUUCGGGUUGUAAAGCACUUUCAGCAGUGAGGAAGGCAUUAAGAUUAAUACUCUUAGUGUUUGACGUUAGCUGCAGAAGAAGCACCGGCUAACUCCGUGCCAGCAGCCGCGGUAAUACGGAGGGUGCGAGCGUUAAUCGGAAUUACUGGGCGUAAAGCGCAUGCAGGUGGUGGAUUAAGUCAGAUGUGAAAGCCCGGGGCUCAACCUCGGAACUGCAUUUGAAACUGGUUCACUAGAGUACUGUAGAGGGGGGUAGAAUUUCAGGUGUAGCGGUGAAAUGCGUAGAGAUCUGAAGGAAUACCGGUGGCGAAGGCGGCCCCCUGGACAGAUACUGACACUCAGAUGCGAAAGCGUGGGGAGCAAACAGGAUUAGAUACCCUGGUAGUCCACGCCGUAAACGAUGUCUACUUGGAGGUUGUGGCCUUGAGCCGUGGCUUUCGGAGCUAACGCGUUAAGUAGACCGCCUGGGGAGUACGGUCGCAAGAUUAAAACUCAAAUGAAUUGACGGGGGCCCGCACAAGCGGUGGAGCAUGUGGUUUAAUUCGAUGCAACGCGAAGAACCUUACCUACUCUUGACAUCCAGAGAACUUUCCAGAGAUGGAUUGGUGCCUUCGGGAACUCUGAGACAGGUGCUGCAUGGCUGUCGUCAGCUCGUGUUGUGAAAUGUUGGGUUAAGUCCCGCAACGAGCGCAACCCUUAUCCUUGUUUGCCAGCGAGUAAUGUCGGGAACUCCAGGGAGACUGCCGGUGAUAAACCGGAGGAAGGUGGGGACGA
rnacentral:rRNA from 1 species